UACGUAGGGCGCAAGCGUUAUCCGGAAUUAUUGGGCGUAAGGAGCUCGUAGGCGGCCUGUCGCGUCGACCGUGAAAACCCGCAGCUCAACUGCGGGCUUGCGGUCGAUACGGGCAGGCUGGAGUUCGGUAGGGGAGACUGGAAUUCCUGGUGUAGCGGUGAAAUGCGCAGAUAUCAGGAGGAACACCGGUGGCGAAGGCGGGCCUCUGGGCCGAUACUGACGCUGAGGAGCGAAAGCGUGGGGAGCGAACAGG
rnacentral:rRNA from 1 species